UUACUAGUGGAUCGGUCACGCUGACAUC
rnacentral:sRNA from 1 species